CUUCGGAAGAAUUGAAUAAUGGAAAGCGGCGGACGGGUGAGUAACGCGUGGGCAACCUGCCUUUCACAGAGGGAUAGCCAAAGGAAACUUUGAUUAAAACCUCAUAAAGCCGAAAUGUUGCAUAGCAAGACGGCCAAAGAUUUAUCGGUGAAAGAUGGGCCCGCGUCUGAUUAGUUAGUUGGUGGGGUAACGGCUCACCAAGGCGACGAUCAGUAGCCGACCUGAGAGGGUGAUCGGCCACAUUGGAACUGAGACACGGUCCAAACUCCUACGGGAGGCAGCAGUGGGGAAUAUUGCACAAUGGGCGCAAGCCUGAUGCAGCAACGCCGCGUGAACGAAGAAGGCCUUCGGGUCGUAAAGUUCUGUCCAUAGGGAAGAAACAAAUGACGGUACCUGUGGAGGAAGCCCCGGCUAAAUACGUGCCAGCAGCCGCGGUAAUACGUAUGGGGCAAGCGUUAUCCGGAAUUAUUGGGCGUAAAGAG
rnacentral:rRNA from 1 species